rnacentral:rRNA from 1 species
AUGAACGCUGGCGGCGUGCCUAAUACAUGCAAGUCGCGCGAACGGACGAGAAGCUUGCUUCUCUGAUGUUAGCGGCGGACGGGUGAGUAACACGUGGAUAACCUACCUAUAAGACUGGGAUAACUUCGGGAAACCGGAGCUAAUACCGGAUAAUAUUUUGAACCGCAUGGUUCAAAAGUGAAAGACGGUCUUGCUGUCACUUAUAGAUGGAUCCGCGCUGCAUUAGCUAGUUGGUAAGGUAACGGCUUACCAAGGCAACGAUGCAUAGCCGACCUGAGAGGGUGAUCGGCCACACUGGAACUGAGACACGGUCCAGACUCCUACGGGAGGCAGCAGUAGGGAAUCUUCCGCAAUGGGCGAAAGCCUGACGAAGCAACGCCGCGUGAGUGAUGAAGGUCUUCGGAUCGUAAAACUCUGUUAUUAGGGAAGAACAUAUGUGUAAGUAACUGUGCACAUCUUGACGGUACCUAAUCAGAAAGCCACGGCUAACUACGUG